UACGUAGGGUGCGAGCGUUGUCCGGAAUUAUUGGGCGUAAAGGGCUCGUAGGCGGUCCGUCACGUCGGGAGUGAAAACUUGGGGCUUAACCCCAAGCCUGCUUCCGAUACGGGCGGACUAGAGGUAGGCAGGGGAGAACGGAAUUCCUGGUGUAGCGGUGAAAUGCGCAGAUAUCAGGAGGAACACCGGUGGCGAAGGCGGUUCUCUGGGCCUUACCUGACGCUGAGAAGCGAAAGCGUGGGGAGCAAACAGG
rnacentral:rRNA from 1 species